CCCCAAACCCACAGGGAAUGGGAAAUGUCCAUUUGAUUACUCUUCCGUCUAUUCAGAUCAUCUAAUAAGGAGAGGUAAGCUGCAUAUAGGAAGUUCAAGAUACAUCUGAGUUUAGAAAUUCACUUAUUUCUGUGACACGAUGGGAACUGUAAUCAUUUUUUGGCUAAGGAAUUGCUGACUUUGUGAAAUCUUUCAAGGCUACGGAAGUAGAUUUUUUAAAGGUGAAUAACUCCAAAGCCAGAUGUUGCAGUCUCUAAAAAGCAGCUGUCAUGGAUGUGGAUCAUUCAGCCAAGACCCGGUGCACCACCUCCUAGCGACCCCAGCAAAGAAAACUCUUCCUACAGCUGGAGCUGUAUAAGGACCUGGCAGAAGCCUCGGAAACGCAGCCUCCCAGCCUUUCUGCGUUAAACUGUUCUGCAGCCACAGAUAGCUGUUCAGGCAGCUGUUCUGGCACAAGGUGAUCCUUCCUCAGAUCAUGUAUGGAACAUAGGGGCUGCUGGUACGUAUUUUGGACAUUGCGCAGGACAUCACCUCAGAGACACACAGAAAGAUAUAAAACGAAUUCCAGCACUUAGAAAGUGUUUCUUUAGCACAUCGUUUGAUGUGUUUGGAGGCACUUGAACAUGGACAGGCAUUCACUGCAGAACACAUGGACUUAACAUUUUUUUUCACUUUCUAGCUGCUUAACAUCACGUCUCUAUGAGGUAUCACUUCUAUGGCAGAGCAAACUGUCUAUUUUUCAUCCACUGCAGCAUAAAGACAUUCAAGCUAGCUUAAACCAGUUUUUCACUGGAGCAGAUGAGGUGUAUUCAUGUGAUCAGUUCUAGUAUCUCUGAACACUAACUUCCAAAAAAAGCUUUUUGACAACUUAAAGUUGACAACUUUUUAAAAUCAGUCCAUUGAAAUUCACUACUGGUUAUCCUGUCUAUAAAUGAUCACUUCCUGCAGGUCACUGCAGAAGUGUAAGAUCAGCAAAGUUUUAGCUAUAGCUAAAAGUAUGGAACUUAAUGUAUACCCUUGCCAGUUCCACCUCUGCUCUGAGAGACACCAGAUGUGACAAUUGGAACCCACCUUGCCUUUUAUUAAGGGGGCCUCUAAAGCCACGGUGAAUGCUGAGCACCAAGGAUUUAUCUUUGAUAACAUCUCUUUUGGUCAGCUGUCUCAUUUAUUAGUUCCCAACACUGUUAAAGGAUUCAACAGACCUACUUAGUGUAAGCGGGUGGCAAAGUAUUUGCCGGAUCAGGGACACGAGAAACCUAAGCGUUCAGUGAAUGAAGAAAACAAUUGCAAGGAACUGCAUAAAACUGCUAUCUUGAGCUGCUGUUAGAAAAUAGAAUGCAGAAUUUCACCUACCAUGAAAAUUUUAUAGAAUGAAUAUUAAUGUUAUGAAGAGAAGUAGGGUGGAUUUGCAUUAUGUAUUUGACUUGUCCCUAGAGCACAGAGACUGACAUAGACUUGUGACUGCAUUAAGUAUAACUAAAUUUUAAUUGAAGAUGAUUGAUUGUUGAGCAUUCUGUUAAUUAACCUCUUUAUUCUACAUUUUCCUACAGAAUCUGAACUGUCCUUUGAAAGCAAGUUUUCCAGCUUAACCAUCAAAAGAUAUGAAUACGAGCUUCAUUCACAAGGAUACUCUGGUAAUAAAAACACAGGAAAAAGAAAAGAAUGAAUGGCA
ensembl:lncRNA